UAACAAGGUCUCCGUUGGUGAACCAGCGGAGGGAUCAUUACUGAGUUUACGCUCUACAACCCUUUGUGAACAUACCUAUAACUGUUGCUUCGGCGGGUAGGGUCUCCGUGACCCUCCCGGCCUCCCGCCCCCGGGCGGGUCGGCGCCCGCCGGAGGAUAACCAAACUCUGAUUUAACGACGUUUCUUCUGAGUGGUACAAGCAAAUAAUCAAAACUUUUAACAACGGAUCUCUUGGUUCUGGCAUCGAUGAAGAACGCAGCGAAAUGCGAUAAGUAAUGUGAAUUGCAGAAUUCAGUGAAUCAUCGAAUCUUUGAACGCACAUUGCGCCCGCCAGCAUUCUGGCGGGCAUGCCUGUUCGAGCGUCAUUUCAACCCUCAAGCUCUGCUUGGUGUUGGGGCCCUACAGCUGAUGUAGGCCCUCAAAGGUAGUGGCGGACCCUCCCGGAGCCUCCUUUGCGUAGUAACUUUACGUCUCGCACUGGGAUCCGGAGGGACUCUUGCCGUAAAACCCCCAAUUUUCCAAAGGUUGACCUCGGAUCAGGUAGGAAUACCCGCUGAACUUAAGCAUAUCAAU
rnacentral:rRNA from 1 species